CAGGGAGACAACAAAAUGUAAAUAUUAAUUUUGUCACCUUAGGUCGAUCGGUAUUUCAGAUUCUUAUUAUUUAAGAAUUUCAGUUUCUAAGUUUUUUCUAGGUCACACCCAUCACUUUUUCCUGGGCCAUUAGCUCAGGUGGUUAGAGCGCACCCCUGAUAAGGGUGAGGUCCCUGGUUCAAGUCCAGGAUGGCCCAUAUCUCUAUGUUGGGGGUAUAGCUCAGUUGGUAGAGCGCCUGCUUUGCAAGCAGGAUGUCAGCGGUUCGAGUCCGCUUACCUCCACUGAAUACCACCUCUUACAUAUAGUUGAAGUGGGAAAUUGUUUUGAGUCGUGUCCUAAUUUGCUCUGAGCGAAUCUAGCUUCCUAUUUUAUCCAAGAAAUAAGAUGCUGGACUCAUUGAAUUUUUUUUCAUUGUUUUCAGAGAACCUUGACAACUGCAUAGAUUAUUUUUAAAGACAAUAAGCAUCUUUAAUGAUGCAGAUUUAUUAUUUGUGCGAAUGCAUUAAAUAACAAUUCUAUUAAGCUGAUGCUUCAAUUAUUGAAGUUAUU
rnacentral:tRNA from 1 species